GCGGCUGCCCCGCUGAGAGGAGGGCGGGCGGCGGUGAGCGCUGGGUGGGGUGUUCCUUGCCCUGCUGCGCGGUUAUUCUCUGAUUUAUAUACGGCUGCCAGAGGAAUCGGCUCUUUUUCUCUCGCGGGUGGCUUUCUCUUGAGGGGCUGUCCUCGCCUCAGAGAGGGCACCCCUCUUCCCCCGCAGACUGAAGGGAGAGACGUUCCUGAGGGGAGAGCGGUCCUCCUUCCCCCGCCGCUGUGGGACGGGGAUCCCCGUGCCCGCUCCCCGCUCAGGCUGAGCCAAGCGGAGGGCAAAGACCUCGCAGCUGCAAGCAGGCAGUGAGGCUGGAGCGGAGCGAACUCUUUCCAGUCACUCAACGAGUGGGACUGUGGCGAUGGCUGCGGGCGGCAUCUGGACGUCGCUGGGGCUGAUGGCAGCCGUCGUGGUGGCUGUGGGCCUGUGCCGGAGUUUGGCUCAUCGCCGCCUGCACAAACACCAACGCCUUUGCUCGUUCUUCCUGGAGCUGCUGAGCACCUUUCAGGUGUGCGCCUGCACCAACGAGCUCAGCCUGCUGGGCAACACAGAGCCCAGGCCGCACACCGCCCUCACCCUCACCUACGGCUUCACCGUCCUGCACGGCUUGACGCUGCCCGGCAGCACGUGCAAUCCUUGUGGCACCCUGCAGCCCCUGUGGGGCAGACGGACCUCGGUCAGGGCGAAGGGACUGAAGAUUGGUGCUCAGUUUGCCGCUGCUGUGUUGGCCAGGGUCUUUAUGCACUUUAUCUGGAGGUUGGAGAUGGCAGAAUCCCAUUCGGGAGCGCUCACUCAAGGUUGUGGCAACCCUAUGCAGACGACAGAGGUGCAGGCGUUCUGCAUAGAGCUGCUGUUCUCUGUCGUUUUCCAGCUGACCAUCCUGCAAGUGGAAAACAUUAAGCCCAGCUACAGAGUCCACGCGGUUGCUCUCCUCAUCACCAUGCUGGUGUUUGCAGGUGGAAAUCUUACAGGAGCAAUAUUUAACCCAGCAUUGGCGUUUUCAUUACAUCCACAUUGUUUCUAUGACAGAUUUCUUACUUAUUCACUGGUAUAUUGGAUAGCACCAUGCUUAGGUACAGUACUUGUGGCUUUUGUAUGGAAAUCCUUUCUUGGACACCAGAAGACACUAAAAUCUGAAUUAUAGUAGUACUACGUUGAAAGAAGUAUUUUCAAACAAGUUAACUUGCAGCCACCUCCAAAUGAAAUGAGGCUUUCAGAAAAAGCAUUGACAUCGACUUCCACACCUCUUCUCAAUUGUAUUUUCAGAUUUCAUGUAUUGAAAUUUCAUUUACAGCUUUGUGUUCAAAACCUUCCUUUGUAACACUAGAUCAGAGAAUAUCUACCAGCAUUUCAGUUAAGCCAUAUGAAUGCAAAAGACUGUUAGAACACUGAAACAUUGUCACUUUAGCCAUAAGUGCCAUUUGCUGACCUGAAUUACAGUGGCAUAUAAAACUUAAGUUUAGAUGAAUUCUGGACCUUUCGGAGUUUGAUUUUAUUGGAUUUCUUCGCAUAGACAGCAGCUGCAGAAACAAAACUGAAGAUUUCCCUCUGUAGUACCUCAGCAAUCCCUUUCAAGCCACGUACAAACCUCCGAGAGGAAAAAAGGCUGAUUUGUUUUCUGAUCCCUAGAAGAACUGACACAGCUCUAUUCUAGAGGUGACCUACAGCAAAAGUACAAACCUGUAGGACCAGCAGUGUUUUGAUAGUGAAGUGCAGAGAAUGCUAACAAGUCAAUGGAUGCCAAUGUCAGAGUUGCCAGAAGCUUGCUGAAGUAAAGGACUGAGAACGGCAAUGCAGAGUUGACUGUGAGAUACAAAAAUCUUAAGUUUAUUUAACAACGUUGUUAACAUUUAAUACAAAGACAAACAGUUCGCAUUUGAAGACUCGAGAGAUUUCAUUCCAUCUCCAUUCUACUACCCAAACUUUGCUCCCAGAGAAUUCAGAGCGACAGCAGUGAACCAAUAAAACCAGUUACUUGAGGGGCAUUACCUUUA